CAAUAGCGUAUAUUAAAGUUGUUGCAGUUAAAAAGCUCGUAGUUGGAUUUGUGGCGUACGGUGUGUUCCGGGCACUUGUUGUCUGAGUAACCUGCUGUUGCCAUCCUUGGGUGGAACCUGUGUGGCAUUAGGUUGUCGUGCAGGGGAUGCCCAUCAUUUACUGUGAAAAAAUUAGAGUGUACAAAGCAGGCUUAUGCCGUUGAAUAUAUUAGCAUGGAAUAAUGAGAUAGGACUUUUUUGCUAUUUUGUUGGUUUGCGCAAAGAGGUAAUGAUUAAUAGGGACAGUUGGGGGUAUUCGUAUUCCAUUGUCAGAGGUGAAAUUCUUGGAUUUUUGGAAGACGAACUACUGCGAAAGCAUUUACCAAGGAUGUUUUCAUUAA
rnacentral:rRNA from 1 species